rnacentral:rRNA from 1 species
AUGAUCAUGGCUCAGGACGAACGCUGGCGGCGUGCCUAAUACAUGCAAGUCGAACGCUUCUUUUUCCACCGGAGCUUGCUCCACCGGAAAAAGAGGAGUGGCGAACGGGUGAGUAACACGUGGGUAACCUGCCCAUCAGAAGGGGAUAACACUUGGAAACAGGUGCUAAUACCGUAUAACAAUCGAAACCGCAUGGUUUUGAUUUGAAAGGCGCUUUCGGGUGUCGCUGAUGGAUGGACCCGCGGUGCAUUAGCUAGUUGGUGAGGUAACGGCUCACCAAGGCGACGAUGCAUAGCCGACCUGAGAGGGUGAUCGGCCACAUUGGGACAGAGACACGGCCCAAACUCCUACGGGAGGCAGCAGUAGGGAAUCUUCGGCAAUGGACGAAAGUCUGACCGAGCAACGCCGCGUGAGUGAAGAAGGUUUUCGGAUCGUAAAACUCUGUUGUUAGAGAAGAACAAGGAUGAGAGUAACUGUUCAUCCCUUGACGGUAUCUAACCAGAAAGCCACGGCUAACUACGUGCCACCAGCCGCGGUAAUACGUAGGUGGCAAGCGUUGUCCGGAUUUAUUGGGCGUAAAGCGAGCGCAGGCGGUUUCUUAAGUCUGAUGUGAAAGCCCCCGGCUCAACCGGGGAGGGUCAUUGGAAACUGGGAGACUUGAGUGCAGAAGAGGAGAGUGGAAUUCCAUGUGUAGCGGUGAAAUGCGUAGAUAUAUGGAGGAACACCAGUGGCGAAGGCGGCUCUCUGGUCUGUAACUGACGCUGAGGCUCGAAAGCGUGGGGAGCAAACAGGAUUAGAUACCCUGGUAGUCGACGCCGUAAACGAUGAGUGCUAAGUGUUGGAGGGUUUCCGCCCUUCAGUGCUGCAGCUAACGCAUUAAGCACUCCGCCUGGGGAGUACGACCGCAAGGUUGAAACUCAAAGGAAUUGACGGGGGCCCGCACAAGCGGUGGAGCAUGUGGUUUAAUUCGAAGCAACGCGAAGAACCUUACCAGGUCUUGACAUCCUUUGACCACUCUAGAGAUAGAGCUUCCCCUUCGGGGGCAAAGUGACAGGUGGUGCAUGGUUGUCGUCAGCUCGUGUCGUGAGAUGUUGGGUUAAGUCCCGCAACGAGCGCAACCCUUAUUGUUAGUUGCCAUCAUUUAGUUGGGCACUCUAGCAAGACUGCCGGUGACAAACCGGAGGAACGUGGGGAUGACGUCAAAUCAUCAUGCCCCUUAUGACCUGGGCUACACACGUGCUACAAUGGGAAGUACAACGAGUCGCAAAGUCGCGAGGCUAAGCUAAUCUCUUAAAGCUUCUCUCAGUUCGGAUUGUAGGCUGCAACUCGCCUACAUGAAGCCGGAAUCGCUAGUAAUCGCGGAUCAGCACGCCGCGGUGAAUACGUUCCCGGGCCUUGUACACACCGCCCGUCACACCACGAGAGUUUGUAACACCCGAAGUCGGUGAGGUAACCUUUUGGAGCCAGCCGCCUAAGGUGGGAUAGAUGAUUGGGGUGAAGUCGUAACAAGGUAGCCGUAUCGGAAGGUGCGGUUGGAUCACCUGC